rnacentral:rRNA from 1 species
GUGGGGAAUAUUGGGCAAUGGGCGAAAGCCUGACCCAGCAACGCCGCGUGAAGGAAGAAGGUUUUCGGAUCGUAAACUUCUAUCCUUGGUGAAGAUAAUGACGGUAGCCAAGAAGGAAGCCCCGGCUAACUACGUGCCAGCAGCCGCGGUAAUACGUAGGGGGCAAGCGUUGUCCGGAAUGAUUGGGCGUAAAGGGCGCGUAGGCGGCCUGGUAAGUCUGGAGUGAAAGUCCUGCUUUUAAGGUGGGAAUUGCUUUGGAUACUGUCGGGCUUGAGUGCAGGAGAGGUAAGUGGAAUUCCCGGUGUAGCGGUGAAAUGCGUAGAGAUCGGGAGGAACACCAGUGGCGAAGGCGACUUACUGGACUGUAACUGACGCUGAGGCGCGAAAGUGUGGGGAGCAAACAGGAUUAGAAACCCCUGUAGUCC